AAUAAGCAAUGUCAUCUCACCAUAGUUAUGCAGUUACUUAGAUUGCUACUUUUUGACAAAUUUAAUGCAGAAUUAAAAGGUAAAAGGCACAUGAGAAAAAGAAGAAUAUGUAACUCCACUCAACCUAGUUUUCUUAAGAGUGGAAGUACAGAGUUAAGGAGUGAUGUGUCAUUUACAUAUGAGUGGAACAAUGGAAGCAUGGGGUGAAGACCUCCAUGCUGUUGGAACAUGAAGCCAUGAACUUGAGAGGUACUCACCAUUUAAUAUUGCUUCAAUCUGCAAAAUUCACUACAACAAUUUACACUUUUGGCAACCAAAUUUGACAACUAAAAGGAAUUUAGUCGCCAAAAGUUGUACAAUAGGUCACUAAAAAUUACAUGGUUGGCAUUUGUUGCAGGGUUUAGCUACUAAAUUUUGUAGUAAGUGUAUAUUAAUUAUUGGUGACUAAACAAAAAUUUAGUUGUUAAAUAUGCCACAAUAGGCAACUCACAAUAGGCAACUAAAAAAAUAUUGGUCGGCGUUAAUUUAGAUUUUAGGUUACUAAAGUUUGUUUUAGUCAUGGUAUACUAAUUUUUGCCGACUAAAACAAAUUUAGUAGUCAAAUAACUAGCAUAAUUUUACUUUAAAUCUUUUGCGACUACCUAAUUUGGUCGGUAAAUAUACAUUUUUGGUGACCAAAAAAAAUUUAGUCAUGGUGUACUAAUUUUUGCCAACUAAAAUAAGUUUAGUAGCCAAAUAACUAGCAUAAUUGUACUUUAAAUCUUUGGCGACUACCCAAUUUAUUAGUAGGCAAAUAUGCAUUUUUAGUGACCAAAAAAUAUUUAAUUGUUAUAUACUAAUUUUUGCGGACUAAAGAAAUUUAGUCGCUAAAAAACUAACAUAAAUGUUGCUUUUAAUCUUUGACAAUCAAAAAAUUAGCUACUAAAAUAUAUAUUGUCAGCGACUAAAAAUAUUUAGUUGGCAAAGGUGCCAAAUUUUUUAGUGUAUUUUCAAAUUUUCCGCCCAAUUCACUAAUUAUGAUUUAUUUUUUUGUUAUUUUUUAUUUCUCCAUAUCAGUGUCUACAUUCAUCCGAACAAAAAGCCUUCAGUCACUUGCUCUUCCUCUUCUCACAGACUCACCAUCCCUGCUAAUAGUCACUCUCGAACUUCCACUGCCGCUGACCAUUGCAGCUCUUGCCACCGUCGCUCACCAUCGCAGCUCCCCCCUCUCAUCCACAUUUAGGAUUUUGAUAAAAUCAUUUUAGGAUUUUACUCUUUUUCUACAUUUGAAGCAUAUAUGAGCUCCAAGUUGUGUUUAAUUCCACACUUUAGUUGCUCUAUUUAAGCAACAAAAGUGAAGGGAAAAAGUGGUUAAUUCGAUCAUUGUGUACAUUUGUUGAGAGAGAAGACCAAUGGGAACCGUAACGCAAGAAGCAAUCGAUCAGUUCAAAGCAUUGGUGGACCAAGAAGUUGCACAUUGCCAUUUCAAUUGAAAAUUGAGAGCUGGGUUAACGAGUUCACAGGAGUAGUGAAGAAUCUCUGCACACCCUUAAGGAGUAAGAGAGACAAUUCAUAGCACUACCCACUUAAAAACUCUCAAGUCUUUAACUACAGAAAUCAACAUUUGAGAGGUGCUCUGCAAUAUUCAUUCCAAGCCACCUCAAUAUCAUUUGUAAUAGAGUACAGGUGUCUUAGUGAGCUUCAUAGACAGCUAGAGUUGAAACAGAAAACAUGUUUCAGAUAGAUUUCCUUUGUGAAGUGUACCACUGAUUUGCCAUUGUUCUGAUGAGUAGUUGUGAUGGAGCUCAUUCUAGGAAGAUUCAAUAAAAGAUAAGCCCUUAUUCAAGAGAAGGUUGACUUGAGGACAAAGUUGCUUGUGGGGUGGGCAUGGGAUUCCUUGUGGUUGAGUACAAGCAAAUGCUACCAAGGUACUAGUUGUUAAACUUUCAUUGCAUCUAUUAGUUUUAUGUAUAAAGAAAGAGAAAGAAUUGUGUAUUGAAUAUGUUGUAUUGAAUGUUGUAUUACAAAGGUUCAAUUGAGCUCGUUUAUAUAGGAGAGGAGCCAAAAGUGGGAGCCUAAAGUGGCCGAAAGUGGCACUAAUAAAGUAAAGUAAAAGUAAAGGAAAUAUACACUACUAACAGCUAUACACUACUAAUAUCAUUACAAUCACUAAUAUAAUAUACUAACAGCCCCCCUCAAACUCAAGGAGGAUAGGUACUAGCCAACUUGAGUUUAGAG